rnacentral:rRNA from 1 species
UCCGUAGCUGGAUUGUUAAGUCUCUUGGGAAAUCUACCGGCUUAACCGAUAGGCGUUCAAGGGAUACUGGCAAUCUAGGGACCGGAAGAGGUGAGAGGUACUCCAGGGGUAGGAGUGAAAUCCUGUAAUCCUUGGGGGACCACCUGUGGCGAAGGCGUCUCACCAGAACGGCUCCGACAGUGAGGGACGAAAGCUGGGGGAGCAAACC